CACAGCUCGCAGUGGAACGCCGCAGCCGGCUGCGCGUGCGACUGGAUCAGAUGACGGUCAAGCCUGGAAAAUAGGAAAAUGUUGGUUUCCUGAUGCUCGAAGAUGAGAAUGAGGAAUAGAGCAUAGGUGAACCGAUCGUUAUGUGACGUCAGUAUCCUGACAGCGCUCAAGGCGGUUGCAAGUUGCAAAGCAUCAGGUGCGUGUCCGUCCUCGCAGAGCCGUACCGUUACGCCCGCCGGACGCAAUCCCUACACACCGGCACCGGUAGUAUCUGAUCCGCUUUUAUAUUCCAGAUAUAAUAAUAUGUACUAUUUGUUUUGAAAUAAACUAAGAGCUUUUAACUGUAAAAUAAAAGAAGAACACAAGACGAAGAAUCGAUCCAAAUGCGUCUAAAAUUACACGUAACGGUAAAAGUAUUUUUGUUUUGCAGGAAUUUUAUUCCGAUGGAAGCUGACACUGGAAUAUACAACUUCAUAAGUGUGAAUAAAAGAUAAAUAAAAGUAAAGCUACGAUUGUUCAUAAAUUAUUUAAUUUAGCAUCAAAUCAAGAUAAGACUAUAUCCGACUAAUCUGCGAAUAAAAAGCGAGACACGCGUCCCUGUAGCAGAUUUAACCCUUUCGCUGCGACCGGGGACAUUAAAUUGAAAUAUUUCAAUUUUAUUGUCCGUAAUAUUUAUUUGAUUGUUAAAUAAAUACGCGAUGUGGGAUGCAGUGUGAUUGUGUUCGGUUAAAUGGGGGCUGCGACUAUUGUUGUCGGUUAAUUUUUUGAUUAAUCAUUCCUUUUCAUCGGCGGGGAAUCGUCGCUAAU